GGAGCUUCAGCGAUUCUCACUGUGAAAAUCACAGUGAGAAGACGCUGAACAUCCAUAGGAAAGCAGUGAGUAAUGCUUUCCUAUGGACGGUUUGAAUGCGCGCGCGGCACUUGCCAUGCAUGCCCAUUUGGAGCGGAGAGGCAGAUCGGGGCGGAGACAUCCCCAGCGCCAAGGGAGUCCAGCGCGGGAGAAAGGUAAGUGCUUAAGACACACACACACUCUCACGAACAGACGCAUAC